GGAAGAUUCGCAUAAUGGUAUUGCACCGGAUUGCUAAUCCGGAGGGUUUUCACGAGCCUGUGUGCGUUCGAGUCGCACAUCUUCCG
rnacentral:tRNA from 1 species